CACCAAUAAGAGCAUGAAAAUCAAUCAUAGAAUCCUCAAAAGAAGAACACUCAUGAUCACCAUCUCCGUCAAGCAUCCAACUCCCAAGAGGAACCACAUAAUCUCCUCCUUCCCAACUAUGAACAACAACUCCCUCAACUUCCUUAAAGCCCAAAGUCUCAAAUCACUAGUAGAAAAAUACAAUAAGGCACCCCCAUAAAGGCACCGGUUCAGGCCAAACCGGUGGCCUAAACCGGCCCAAAAUUGGGCGCAAUUUUACACAAAUAGAAAAGGCACCUGUUCAGCCUAAACCGGUGCCAAAAAUUAAAAGGACACCGGUUUGAACCGGUGCCAAAUCGAACCGGUUCCUUUACAUAUUAAAAAAAAACCGCCCUUAUAACUCCCCCAACCCUAAGUAUUUCGCCCGUGUUCUCUCUCCUCUCCUCUCCUCCUCCUCCUCCUCCUCCUCCUCCUCUUUCUCUCUCCUCUCCUCCUCUUUCGCGUUGUCGUUUUCCUUCAAUCCUUCAUUUAUCUUUCUAGAUCUCCUCCUCCUUGCUAUUAUCACUUGAAAACUACCAACAAAUUCGAAGACAACAACAUGCAACACGGAUUUUGAGGUUUUUCAAUCGAUUUUGAGGUAUCUUGAGUUAGAUCUUACAGGGAAGAAUCAUAAAUUCAAGAUGCAAGAAUAUUGAGUUUAUUUUUUUUAUUUAUAUUGUAAUUUUUUUUAUAUGUUGUAAUUGAACUACUACUGUAUUGAUGUAUAUUGUAAAAUUGUUUUGAUUAUAUAUUGUCAAUUUUUGAUUAUGUUGAUUGAAAUUCGAUCUAUAUUUUGAUGUUCUAAAUAAUUUGAUUCGAUUUUUAAUUGUUUGAUGUUCUAAAAAAAAAAAA